rnacentral:rRNA from 1 species
CUACGGGAGAAGCAGUGGGGAAUUUUGGACAAUGGGGGCAACCCUGAUCCAGCCAUGCCGCGUGAGUGAAGAAGGCCUUCGGGUUGUAAAGCUCUUUCGGCCGGGAAGAAAUCGCGCCUGUGAAUAAUGGGCGUGGAUGACGGUACCGGAAGAAGAAGCACCGGCUAACUACGUGCCAGCAGCCGCGGUAAUACGUAGGGUGCGAGCGUUAAUCGGAAUUACUGGGCGUAAAGCGUGCGCAGGCGGCCUGACAAGACAGCUGUGAAAGCCCCGGGCUUAACCUGGGAACUGCGGUUGUGACUGUCAGGCUAGAGUGUGGCAGAGGGGGGUGGAAUUCCACGUGUAGCAGUGAAAUGCGUAGAGAUGUGGAGGAACACCGAUGGCGAAGGCAGCCCCCUGGGUCGCCACUGACGCUCAUGCACGAAAGCGUGGGGAGCAAACAGGAUUAGAUACCCUGGUAGUCCACGCCCUAAACGAUGCCGACUAGGUGUUGGGGAAGGAGACUUCCUUAGUACCGUAGCUAACGCGUGAAGUCGGCCGCCUGGGAGUACGGUCGCAAGAUUAAAACUCAAAUGAAUUGACGG